GAGUAUUUAGUACUCAAAAUAUAUUAGUGAGCAAUGAAACAUAUUAAAUAAUAGGGUCAUAUGGACUCGAACCAUAGACCUACUCGGUAAAACAAAUCAAACUUAUUAUUAUCAAAACGAUUUGAACUUCUUUAAAGACCUAACGUGCAUCUUUUUUGCAUUGGGCAAUAACUUACCAAGGCGAUGAUCAGUAGUUGGUCCGAGAGGACGAUCAGCCACACUAGGGCUGAGACACAACCCAAACAUCUACAGGAGGCAGUAGUGGAGGAUUUUCCGCAAUGGGUGAAAGCAUGAUGGAGCAAUGUCGCAUGGAGGUAGAAGGCAUACGGGUCAUGAACUUCUUUUCCAGGAGAAGAAGCAAUCACAGUAUUCAGGGAAUAAGGAUCGACUAACUCUUUGCUAGCAGUCGUGGUAAGACAGAUGAUGCAAGCAUUAUCUAAAAUGAUUGGGCGUAAAGCAUCCGUCGGUGGUUUUUUAAGUUCGCCGUCAAAUCCAAGGGAACAACCCUAGAGAGGGUCGGGGCAGAGAGAAUUUCCGGUAGAGCGGUGAAAUGCGUAGAGAUGGGAUAGAACAUCAACAACAAAAGCACUAUGCUGGGCCAACACUAACGCUGAGAGACGAAAGCUAGAGGAGCAAAUGAGAUUAGAUACCCCAAUAGUCCUAGCCAUAAAUGAAUGAUAUUAGGCGUUGUGCAUAUCGACCCGUGCAAUGUUGUAGCUAAUGUGUUAAGUAUCCCACAU